rnacentral:misc_RNA from 1 species
AUAUCAGUUUGAUUCCUAAGG